AAUACAGGCUGCAGUAGAUUGACACUGGAUUUUUUGGCAUCAACAAAGAAGUUUGUGUUUAGGCUUUGAAGGAGUUCACUGUGGUUGCUGCAGAACAAUCUCGUAUCCUUGACAGCACUAUACACCGCAGUUGGUAAAAAUACGGAUUCGCUGGCCUUAUAUUUUGGUGAGGACCCUAUGAGCUGCCCAUUCGAACAAGUCGUCUCUACUCUUCUUAAUUUUGUACUGUUGUUUCGGAGGACACACGAGAUGGACUGCAAGCAGGCUGAGCUCGAGAAGAAGAAAGCUCCGAAAGAAGCCGAGGAGAAGUCAA